GACAGAGGGUGCGAACGUUGCUCGGAAUUACUGGGCGUAAAGCGCGUGUAGGCGGAUUGGUAAGUCAGAUGUGAAAUCCCUGGGCUUAACUUAGGAAUUGCAUUUGAUACUGCCUAUCUUGAGUGGUGGAGAGGGAAGUGGAAUUCCUGGUGUAGAAGUGAAAUUCGUAGAUAUCAGGAGGAACACCUGUGGCGAAGGCGGCUUCCUGGACACCGACUGACGCUGAGACGCGAAAGCGUGGGGAG
rnacentral:rRNA from 1 species